UGACAAUUAACUUUUUUCAUGCUGGGAAACCAUAGCGUAAAGUAAAUGGAUCACGUGAAGCCAAUGGAGGAAAUGCUUUAAGCCUUCGGAAGUGAAGAAGUAGGCCAUUGAUGAUCUGAAUAAAACAAUUCAGUGGCUGGAAUGUCAAGAAGAAAAGUCAGAUCCAGUGAGAUGACAAAAAUAGCUGCAGAGGGGAUUCUAACUUGUUUGCAAGAUGCAAUAUGUUCUCUUGAGGAAAAACGGGUAAUGUGCACAAAAAAUUGUCUAUCACUUUUCUUAGUUUGAAAGCAACUUCUCCGAUAUUUUCUUUCCCUGGGGGAUGCUGGCAUAGGUAAAAUUUUCCCCUUCAUAUAGGUUUUAAUUUCCUAUGCAGUCCUUUGUUUAAAUUCUCUAUCAGAACAAGCACUAGCAGUGUAUCAUAUUGAUAGAUAAAGAACAGACUUUUGUUAUUAUUUAAAUUUCAACUGAAUUUCCUUUAUGAACACGUAAG